rnacentral:misc_RNA from 1 species
AAAAUGAAACUACUUUUCAUAACACUCUCUAGUAGGCAGAAAAUGAUCCGAAAAAAAUAUAAUGUGGACACGUGUGUGUAAAUAACUGCAUAUGGAAAAAUGAAUGUGUGGACUUAAUAGACAGAAUUAAGGAAAAAGAGGUCAAAACCAAUUGUGGUUUUUGUUCUGUUCGGUAUGAUGGCGGAAGAGACGGCAUCUAAAGACACUUAUUGGUUAAAUGAGACUCUUUCUCAUCGAAUAAAAUCAUGGCGGUCCCGUAGAUUCAAGCGUUUUGACUGGAAACGCAAUAUAAGUGAAAUUGAAGACAGCCACGACAAAAAUACGAAAUGUCCACCAGUCCCCUCCCUAUCAGUUUCAAGUAUCAAAGCCGACGUAACAUUGAAUUUCAACGUGAAGGAUAAUGAUACUGAAGAUGUAAGAUGGUAUAUUGGAAGAAGACGAAGAAACACUGAGAUGAAACAUCUUGCAUAUACAAUGAAUAGUUCCCCGUGUCGAUUUCCUCUAUAUAUGGCAGAUAUAUUUAGUAAAACUAAGGACGGGCAGAGCAGUGCAUCUAGGUGUCGGUGUUGUAUUUACUUAAAAGACCAGGUUUCGAGGCCAACAACGAAAAUAAAGAGCCUGAGGUUGAAGUGAUUGAUCUGGUUGGAGUACAAACAGACUCAAUCAAGGCAGAAGAUCAAGAUAUCAGGAGACCUAGAGGGGUCCAAGAAAAUGAAGAUAACUUAAUUCAUAGAUAUAUGUACGAGGACUCUAAAACCAUGGCUAGAAAUAAAAAAGAACUCAAGGAUUUAAGUACAAACCAAGAAUUAAGGUUUGCCCUGAAGAAACUACAGGCUGCUUAUCACAAACUAAAGACCGAGGAGACAGAAAAAUCAAAGAAAUUAAAGAAACUACAAACUGAUUAUGACAAACUAAAGACCGAGGAGACAGAAAAAUCAACGAAAUUAAAGAAACUACAAACUGAUUAUGACAAACUAAAGACUGAGGAGACAGAAAAAUCAAAGAAAUUAAAGAAACUACAAACUGAUUAUGACAAACUAAAGACCGAGGAAAGAGAGAAAUCAAAGAAACUACAGGAGCCGUCCCUGCAGAUAUUUUACCGCGAGCAGGCUAGACAGGAUCUAAAGGGGCUGGAGGAAAAUGUGGCCAAAAAGCUGCAGACCCUUCACAACUUAAGGAAGCUGUAUGUAGAAGACUUACAGAACCGUGUUAGAAAGUCAGCCAAUAAGAAAGAGGAUGAGGAUGAUGAUGACACAGGAGGAAGCAUGGCACAGAAACAGAAGAUAUCAAUCCUAGAGAACAACCUGGAACAGCUGACCAAAGUCCACAAACAGCUUGUAAGGGAUAACGCCGACCUGCGGUGUGAACUUCCCAAGCUAGAAAAGAGACUGCGAGCCACAAUGGAGAGAACAAAAUCCCUUGAGACAGCGCUAAAGGAGGCCAAGGAGGGCGCCAUGAGAGACAGGCAGAGAUACCAACAUGAGGUGGACAGAAUAAAGGAAGCAGUCAGACAAAAGAAUCUCGCCAGACGGGGCCAUGCCGCUCAUGCACUGUUGGCACCGAUUGGAAUAUCUGAUGCAAUGAUGAUAGAAGAUUUUUAACACUAGUACUGAAGUGAUGUAAUAAAAAUGAUGAUCUGUAAACAAAAAGAAAGAAAAAUAUAGCAAUUCGCUUUAUCUUGUACUAU